rnacentral:tRNA from 1 species
GCGGUCGUGGCGGAAUUGGUAGACGCGCAGCGUUGAGGUCGCUGUUCUUUAAUCGGAGUGGGGGUUCGAGUCCCCCCGACCGCACCA